rnacentral:rRNA from 1 species
UGAGGAAUAUUGGUCAAUGGGCGAGAGCCUGAACCAGCCACGUCGCGUGAAGGAAGACUGACCUUACGGUUUGUAAACUUCUUUUGUAGAGGGGUAAUGACAGAUACGUGUAUUUGCGUGAAAGUACUCUACGAAUAAGCAUCGGCUAACUCCGUGCCAGCAGCCGCGGUAAUACGGGGGAUGCGAGCGUUAUCCGGAAUUAUUGGGUUUAAAGGGUGCGCAGGUGGCUAAUCAGGUCAGUGGUGAAAAGCUAUGGCUCAACCAUGGUCUUGCCAUUGAAACCGUAUAGCUAGAGAGGAGACGAGGUAGGCGGAAUGUGUGGUGUAGCGGUGAAAUGCAUAGAUAUCACACAGAACUCCGAUUGCGAAGGCAGCUUACCAGGCUUUAUCUGACACUUAGGCACGACAGCGUGGGGAUCAAACAGG